UACGUAGGUGACAAGCGUUGUCCGGAUUUACUGGGCGUAAAGAGCGCGCAGGCGGUCGUUCAAGUCGAGUGUGAAAGCCCCCGGCUCAACUGGGGAGGGUCAUUCGAUACUGAUCGACUGGAAGGCAGGAGAGGGAAGCGGAAUUCCCGGUGUAGUGGUGAAAUGCGUAGAUAUCGGGAGGAACACCAGUGGCGAAGGCGACUUCCUGGCCUGUUCUUGACGCUGAGGCGCGAAAGCUAGGGGAGCAAACGGG
rnacentral:rRNA from 1 species